rnacentral:rRNA from 1 species
GUAGGUGACCAGCGUUGUCCGGAUUUACUGGGCGUAAAGAGCGCGCAGGCGGUCGUUCAAGUCGAGUGUGAAAGCCCCCGGCUCAACUGGGGAGGGUCACUCGAUACUGAUCGACUUGAAGGCAGGAGAGGGAAGCGGAAUUCCCGGUGUAGUGGUGAAAUGCGUAGAUAUCGGGAGGAACACCAGUGGCGAAGGCGGCUUCCUGGCCUGUUCUUGACGCUGAGGCGCGAAAGCUAGGGGAGCAAACGGGAUUAGAUACCCCGGUAGUCCUAGCCGUAAACGAUGGACACUAGGUGUUGGUGGUAUCAACCCCACCAGUGCCGAAGCUAACGCAUUAAGUGUCCCGCCUGGGGAGUACGGCCGCAAGGCUAAA